rnacentral:rRNA from 1 species
GAUGAACGCUGGCGGCGUGCCUAAUACAUGCAAGUCGAGCGAACGGACGAGAAGCUUGCUUCUCUGAUGUUAGCGGCGGACGGGUGAGUAACACGUGGAUAACCUACCUAUAAGACUGGGAUAACUUCGGGAAACCGGAGCUAAUACCGGAUAAUAUUUUGAACCGCAUGGUUCAAAAGUGAAAGACGGUCUUGCUGUCACUUAUAGAUGUAUCCGCGCUGCAUUAGCUAGUUGGUAAGGUAACGGCUUACCAAGGCAACGAUGCAUAGCCGACCUGAGAGGGUGAUCGGCCACACUGGAACUGAGACACGGUCCAGACUCCUACGGGAGGCAGCAGUAGGGAAUCUUCCGCAAUGGGCGAAAGCCUGACGGAGCAACGCCGCGUGAGUGAUGAAGUUCUUCGGAUCGUAAAACUCUGUUAUUAGGGAAGAACAUAUGUGUAAGUAACUGUGCACAUCUUGACGGUACCUAAUCAGAAAGCCACGGCUAACUACGUG